CUUAAAGGAAUUGACGGGGACCCGCACAAGCAGCGGAGCAUGUGGUUUAAUUCGAAGCAACGCGAAGAACCUUACCAGAUCUUGACAUCCAAUUGACCAUCUUUUAAUCGAGAUUUUGCCUUCGGGUACAAUUGAGACAGGUGGUGCAUGGUUGUCGUCAGCUCGUGUCGUGAGAUGUUGGGUUAAGUCCCGCAACGAGCGCAACCCUUGUGUUUUAGUUGCAAACAGGUCAAGCUGUGCACUCUAGACAGACUGCCGUGGACAACACGGAGGAAGGUGGGGAUGACGUCAAAUCAUCAUGCCCCUUAUGAUCUGGGCUACACACGUGCUACAAUGGCCGGUACAACGGGCAGCGAAGGAGCGAUCCGGAGCGAAUCCUAAAAAGCCGGUCCCAGUUCGGAUUGCAGGCUGAAACUCGCCUACAUGAAGUUGGAGUUGCUAGUAAUCGCGAAUCAGAAUGUCGCGGUGAAUGCGUUCCCGGGUCUU
rnacentral:rRNA from 1 species